rnacentral:rRNA from 1 species
AGGGUUUGAUCCUGGCUCAGAACGAACGCUAGCAGCGUGGAUUAGGCAUGCAAGUCGUGCGCGAAAGUCUUCGGACGAGUAAAGCGGCGAAAGGGUGAGUAACACGUAACUAACGUACCCCUCAGAUUGGGAUAACCACUGGAAACGGUGGAUAAUACUGAAUGGUCCUAGGAAGGACAUCCUUCCGAAGGUAAACGGCGGCUUCGGCUGCUGUUGAGGGAGCGGGUUGCGACCUAUCAGCUUGUUGGUGAGGUAACGGCUCACCAAGGCUAUGACGGGUAGCGGGUCUGAGAGGAUGAUCCGCCACACUGGGACUGAGACACUGCCCAGACUCCUACGGGAGGCUGCAGUCGAGAAUCUUCCACAAUGGGCGAAAGCCUGAUGGAGCGACGCUGCGUGUAGGAUGAAGGCCUUAGGGUUGUAAACUACUGUCACGCUAUAGGAACCCGUGUAGGUUAAUAGCCUGCGCGCUGACCAAAGCGAGAGGAAGUGCCGGCUAACUCCGUGCCAGCAGCCGCGGUAAGACGGAGGGCGCAAGCGUUGUUCGGAAUCACUGGGCAUAAAGGGCGCGUAGGCGGCCAGUUCAGUCGGAUGUGAAAUCCCCCGGCCCAACCGGGGAACUGCAUUCGAUACUGACUGGCUAGAGGAUGGUAGGAGCCAAUGGAACUCCAGGUGGAACGGUGAAAUGUGUAGAUAUCUGGAGGAACACCGGUGGCGAAAGCGAUUGGCUGGGCCAUUUCUGACGCUGAGGCGCGAAAGCUAGGGGAGCGAACGGGAUUAGAUACCCCGGUAGUCCUAGCCGUAAACGAUGGGUACUGGGCAAUGGACUUACCUAUGUAGUUCAUUGCUGUAGCUAAUGUGUUAAGUACCCCGCCUGGGGAGUACGCUCGCAAGGGUAAAACUCAAAGGAAUUGACGGGGGAUCACACAAGCGGUGGAGCAUGUGGUUUAAUUCGAAGCCCAGCGGGUAAUGCCGGGGACUCUAGCGAGACUGCCGUUGUUAAAACGGAGGAAGGUGGGGACGACGUCAAGUCAUCAUGGCCCUUAUGGCUAGGGCUACACACGUGCUACAAUGGUUCAUACAAAGGGUUGCUAAGUCGCGAGACCAUGCUAAUCCCAUAAAGUGGACCUCAGUUCGGAUUGGAGGCUGAAAUUCGCCUCCAUGAAGCUGGAAUCGCUAGUAAUCGCGUAUCAGCAAUGACGCGGUGAAUAUGUUCCUGAUCCUUGUACACACCGCCCGUCAAGCCAUGGAAGCGGGGAGCGCUCGAAGUCGCUCUGUCCAACCUUCGGGAGGACGGCGCCGAAAGCGAGCUCCGUGACUAGGACUAAGUCGUAACAAGGUAGCCGUAGGGGAACCUGCGGCUG